rnacentral:rRNA from 1 species
UACAGAGGGGGCAAGCGUUAUUCGGAAUUAUUGGGCGUAAAGGGCGCGUAGGCGGCUUUGCAAGUGACGGGUGAAAUCCCUCGGCUUAACCGAGGAACUGCCUGUCAGACUGCAUGGCUUGAGACCGGGAGAGGUGAGUGGAAUUCCCAGUGUAGCGGUGAAAUGCGUAGAUAUUGGGGGGAACACCGGUGGCGAAGGCGGCUUCCUGGACCGACACUGACGCUGAGGCGCGAAAGCUAGGGGAGCAAACGGG